rnacentral:tRNA from 1 species
GCCAUGAUGGCGGAAUCGGUAGACGCAACAGACUUAAAAUCUGUCGAGGGCAACCUCGUGCGGGUUCAAGUCCCGCUCGUGGCACCA